rnacentral:rRNA from 1 species
UACGUAGGGUGCAAGCGUUGUCCGGAAUUACUGGGCGUAAAGCGUGCGCAGGCGGUUGUGCAAGACCGAUGUGAAAUCCCCGGGCUUAGCCUGGGAAUGGCAUUGGUGACUGCACGGCUAGAGUGUGUCAGAGGGGGGUAGAAUUCCACGUGUAGCAGUGAAAUGCGUAGAGAUGUGGAGGAAUACCGAUGGCGAAGGCAGCCCCCUGGGAUAACACUGACGCUCAUGCACGAAAGCGUGGGGAGCAAACAGG